AUGCACGCUGGCGGCGUGCCUAAUACCUGCAAGUCGAGCGAACAGACGAGGAGCUUGCUCCUCUGACGUUAGCGGCGGACGGGUGAGUAACACGUGGAUAACCUACCUAUAAGGCUGGGAUAACUUCGGGAAACCGGAGCUAAUACCGGAUAAUAUAUUGAACCGCAUGGUUCAAUAGUGAAAGACGGUUUUGCUGUCACUUAUAGAUGGAUCCGCGCCGCAUUAGCUAGUUGGUAAGGUAACGGCUUACCAAGGCAACGAUGCGUAGCCGACCUGAGAGGGUGAUCGGCCACACUGGAACUGAGACACGGUCCAGACUCCUACGGGAGGCAGCAGUAGGGAAUCUUCCGCAAUGGGCGAAAGCCUGACGGAGCAACGCCGCGUGAGUGAUGAAGGUCUUCGGAUCGUAAAACUCUGUUAUUAGGGAAGAACAAAUGUGUAAGUAACUAUGCACGUCUUGACGGUACCUAAUCAGAAAGCCACGGCUAACUACGUG
rnacentral:rRNA from 1 species